UUGAACGCUGGCGGCAGGCCUAACACAUGCAAGUCGAACGGUAACAGGAAGCAGCUUGCUGUUUCGCUGACGAGUGGCGGACGGGUGAGUAAUGUCUGGGAAACUGCCUGAUGGAGGGGGAUAACUACUGGAAACGGUAGCUAAUACCGCAUAACGUCGCAAGACCAAAGAGGGGGACCUUCGGGCCUCUUGCCAUCGGAUGUGCCCAGAUGGGAUUAGCUAGUAGGUGGGGUAACGGCUCACCUAGGCGACGAUCCCUAGCUGGUCUGAGAGGAUGACCAGCCACACUGGAACUGAGACACGGUCCAGACUCCUACGGGAGGCAGCAGUGGGGAAUAUUGCACAAUGGGCGCAAGCCUGAUGCAGCCAUGCCGCGUGUAUGAAGAAGGCCUUCGGGUUGUAAAGCACUUUCAGCGGGGAGGAAGGCGGUGAGGUUAAUAACCUCAUCGAUUGACGUUACCCGCAGAAGAAGCACCGGCUAACUCCGUGCCAGCAGCCGCGGUAAUACGGAGGGUGCAAGCGUUAAUCGGAAUUACUGGGCGUAAAGCGCACGCAGGCGGUUUGUUAAGUCAGAUGUGAAAUCCCCGGGCUCAACCUGGGAACUGCAUCUGAUACUGGCAAGCUUGAGUCUCGUAGAGGGGGGUAGAAUUCCAGGUGUAGCGGUGAAAUGCGUAGAGAUCUGGAGGAAUACCGGUGGCGAAGGCGGCCCCCUGGACGAAGACUGACGCUCAGGUGCGAAAGCGUGGGGAGCAAACAGGAUUAGAUACCCUGGUAGUCCACGCCGUAAACGAUGUCGACUUGGAGGUUGUGCCCUUGAGGCGUGGCUUCCGGAGCUAACGCGUUAAGUCGACCGCCUGGGGAGUACGGCCGCAAGGUUAAAACUCAAAUGAAUUGACGGGGGCCCGCACAAGCGGUGGAGCAUGUGGUUUAAUUCGAUGCAACGCGAAGAACCUUACCUGGUCUUGACAUCCACGGAAGUUUUCAGAGAUGAGAAUGUGCCUUCGGGAACCGUGAGACAGGUGCUGCAUGGCUGUCGUCAGCUCGUGUUGUGAAAUGUUGGGUUAAGUCCCGCAACGAGCGCAACCCUUAUCCUUUGUUGCCAGCGGUCCGGCCGGGAACUCAAAGGAGACUGCCAGUGAUAAACUGGAGGAAGGUGAGGAUGACGUCAAGUCAUCAUGGCCCUUACGACCAGGGCUACACACGUGCUACAAUGGCGCAUACAAAGAGAAGCGACCUCGCGAGAGCAAGCGGACCUCAUAAAGUGCGUCGUAGUCCGGAUUGGAGUCUGCAACUCGACUCCAUGAAGUCGGAAUCGCUAGUAAUCGUGGAUCAGAAUGCCACGGUGAAUACGUUCCCGGGCCUUGUACACACCGCCCGUCACACCAUGGGAGUGGGUUGCAAAAGAAGUAGGUAGCUUAACCUUCGGGAGGGCGCUUACCACUUUGUGAUUCAUGACUGGGGUG
rnacentral:rRNA from 1 species